ensembl:lncRNA
CAGGCACAGGAGGACCCGAAAGAGAGUUUGGUUCGGUGUUGCUGUCCGUAAGACGCAGCUCUCUGCAUGUGCACUGAACAUGGCACGCAAGGACUCAUAUGGACGUGGAAGUGUUCGCAAAGACUUGGCGUAGAAGAAAGUGGGUUUUGGGAUGCUGUGGGUUGCACCAGGAAAUAGCAAGCCCAUUCUAAAACUUGUUCAUCGAAGGUCCCGAAAUCACCGUAUCCCACUUAUUGUACAAUAUGUGCAUCCUGGAAGUUCCAUACUUAGUGAUGAAUGGCGUGCUUACAGAAGGGCAUUUACCAAUCGUGGCUAUAAUCACUUACCUGUGAAGCAUAAUAACUCUUUUGUAGAUCCAAGAACAGGC